UGUCUUUAUGGCAAAUGUGAGAUGCAGUGUAUGGAAUGUUCAAUUUCUAGUAUGAGAAAUUAACGAUUUAAGUCCUUCUUAAAUGAGGCCAUUUACCCAUAGAGGGUGCCAGGCCCGUAUAACGUUAAUGAUUACUAGAGAACAUUUCCAAAGAGUCGUGUUGCUUGAUAGUGCAGCACUAAGUGGGUGGUAAACUCCAUCUAAAACUAAAUAUAACCAUGAGACCGAUAGUAAACAAGUACCGUGAGGGAAAGUUGAAAAGAACUCUGAAUAGAGAGUUAAAUAGUACGUGAAACUGCUUAGAGGUUAAGCCCGAUGAACCUGAAUAUCCAUUAUGGAAAAUUCAUCGUUACGAUUGUGAUAAUAAUAUUAUUAUAAGAAUAGCGUGCAUUUUUUCCAUAUAAGGACAUUGUAAUCUAUUAACCCCAAUUUAUCAUAAGAUCAAUGGCUUAAGUUUAUUCAAAUUAUUUUGCUUGUCUUUUUAACAUAGAAUAAAUGCUGUUGAUUUGAUAAAGUGUUGAUAGAUUUAUUUGUAUAUAGUGCUUGAAUAUUUAUAUUCUAUAAUGGCAUAUUAAUCAUUGAUUUUUGUGUUUAUUAUAUGCGCUUAUAUGAUUAACAAUGCGAAAGAUUCAGGAUACCUUCGGGACCCGUCUUGAAACACGGACCAAGGAGUCUAACAUAUUUGCAAGUUAUUGGGUAUUAAAC
rnacentral:rRNA from 1 species